UACGGGAGGCAGCAGUGGGGAAUAUUGCACAAUGGGCGCAAGCCUGAUGCAGCCAUGCCGCGUGUAUGAAGAAGGCCUUCGGGUUGUAAAGUACUUUCAGUCGUGAGGAAGGUGUUAAGGUUAAUAACCUUAGCAAUUGACGUUAGCGACAGAAGAAGCACCGGCUAACUCCGUGCCAGCAGCCGCGGUAAUACGGAGGGUGCGAGCGUUAAUCGGAAUUACUGGGCGUAAAGGGCACGCAGGCGGUUAAUUAAGUUGGAUGUGAAAUCCCCGGGCUUAACCUGGGAAUGGCAUUCAAGACUGGUUAGCUAGAGUCUUGUAGAGGGGGUAGAAUUCCAUGUGUAGCGGUGAAAUGCGUAGAGAUGUGGAGGAAUACCGGUGGCGAAGGCGGCCCCUGGGACAAAGAUUGACGCUCAUGUGCGAAAGCGUGGGGAGCAAACAGGAUUAGAUACC
rnacentral:rRNA from 1 species